GAAGCAGGGUGGCGGCCUGCAGGGCGAGGGAUUCUUCAAGGCCCACUCCGCCCGUCUAGGAGGGGAGGCACCCUGCACGGCUGUCCCAGGUGAACAGCUUGUAUCUUGUCCAGGGGCCUAGAAGACAGUUCCCAGGAGGCCGAGGACGAGGCAUCGGGGCUGGGGCUAUCUGAGCAGCUCACAUCUGGGCCGGGGCUGCUGGGGAUGCCGGAGCAGCAGGAGCUGCAGGAGCCGCCCGAGGCGAAGCGUGGAAGCAGCUGUCAGAAGGGGAACGGAUCUGUGUGCCCACAGCUCCUGGAGCCCCACAGGAGCACGUGAAUUGCCUCUACUUACGUUCAGGCCCUGUCCUAAACCCAGCCGUCCAGCACCCAGUGAUCCCAUGCCUUUGGGAAUCCCAGGAUGCUGCCCAACGGGAAAUUUAUACAUUGGGUGCUAUCAAUGCCACAUCACAGGGACCAGCCAUGACAGAGCAAAGUGACCUCCACGUCUGAUGCUGGGGUCAUCAGGACGGACCCAUCAUGGCUGUCUUUUUGCCCCACCCCCUGCCGUCAGUUCUUCCUUUCUCUGUGGCUGGCUUCCCACACUAGGGAACGGGUUGUAAAUGGGGAACAUGACUUCCUUCCGGAGUCCUUGAGCACCUCAGCUAAGGACCGCAGUGCCCUGUAGAGUUCCUAGAUUACCUCACUGGGAAUAGCAUUGUGUGUCUCCAGAAAAGGGCUCCAUUUGGUUCCACCCCACUCCCCUCUGCAAGUGCCGCAGCUUCCCUCAGAGCAUACUCUCCAGUGGAUCCAAGUACUCUCUCUCCUAAAGACACCACCUUCCUGCCAGCUGUUUGCCCUUAGGCCAGUACACAGAAUUAAAGUGGGGGAGAUGGCAGACACUUUCUGGGACCUGCCCAAGAUAUGUAUUCUCUGACACUCUUAUUUGGUCAUAAAACAAUAAAUGGUGUCAAUUUCAAACGUG
rnacentral:lncRNA from 1 species